rnacentral:rRNA from 1 species
UACCAGCACCCCGAGUGGUCGGGACGUUUAUUGGGCCUAAAGCAUCCGUAGCCGGUUCUACAAGUCUUCCGUUAAAUCCAGCUGCUUAACAGAUGGGCUGCGGAAGAUACUAUGGAGCUAGAAGGCGGGAGAGGCAAGCGGUACUCGAUGGGUAGGGGUAAAAUCCGUUGAUCCAUUGAAGACCACCAGUGGCGAAGGCGGCUUGCCAGAACGCGCUCGACGGUGAGGGAUGAAAGCUGGGGGAGCAAACCGG